rnacentral:tRNA from 1 species
CAUCAGGUAGUUUAUUUAAAAAUAUUAAUUUUGGGGAUUAAUGAAGAGUUUUACUUUCUGUUGA